AUGGACGUGAACAAACUUGAUGUGGAGCUGGAUAGCAACGCAGUGGUGCGUAUGCAUGCCGGCCCUCUAGCCAAAGAGGGCGUCGCUCAGCUCAUUCAGUCUCCACUCAGCACAACGGCCACCGGAGAAUGGGGCGAUCUCAACCCACCAGUCACCGGCGGUUCGAGGGCCGAUCCCAUUUCAUCAAAGGCUUGUGUUGCCGACCCCGUGUCCAAGGUGCUCGACGACAAUAACCUCCUCAUUGAGAUCGUCGUCCGCCUUGGCUUCCCCACCACACUAAUCGGCGCCACCCUCGUCUGCAAGCGUUGGUUCCUCCACGCCUCCUACCCUGCCUUCCUCUGCCGAUUCCCCCACCAAGCUUGCUGUCGUCGCCCACCGUGUGGCAAGGUACAACUUUUAUAUGUUUAA
rnacentral:rRNA from 1 species